rnacentral:tRNA from 2 species
GCGGGCGUGGUGAAAUUGGUAGACACGCAAGACUUAAAAUCUUGUUGCCUUACGGCAGUGCCGGUUCAAGUCCGGCCGCCCGCACCA